rnacentral:rRNA from 1 species
GACUGACACUCAUACACGAAAGCUAGGGGAGCAAACAGGUUUAGAUACCCUGGUAGUCCUAGCUGUAAACGGUGUGCACUCGAUGUUGGCGGAAUUGUCCCCGCCAGUGUCUAAGCAAACGCGUUAAGUGCACCGCCUGGGGAGUACGGUCGCAAGAUUAAAACUCAAAGAAAUUGACGGGGACCCGCACAAGCGGAGGAGCAUGUGGCUUAAUUCGAUGCAACGCGAAGAACCUUACCUGGACUUGACAUAUAACUGCACGUCCUGUGAAAGCAGGAUUCCUUCGAGGGUGUUAUACAGGUGCUGCAUGGCUGUCGUCAGUUCGUGCCGUGAGGUGUUAGGUUAAGUCCUGCAACGAACGCAACCCCUAUGUUUAGUUGCCAUCAGGUUAUGCUGGGCACUCUAGACAGACUGCCCGUGCAAUCGGGAGGAAGGUGGGGACGACGUCAAGUCAGUAUGGCCCUUACGUCCAGGGCUGCACACGUGCUACAAUGACCGGUACAGAGGGCAGCGAUAUCGCGAGGUGGAGCUAAUCCCUUAAAACCGGUCCCAGUUCGGAUUGGAGUCUGCAACUCGACUUCAUGAAGUUGGAUUCGCUAGUAACGGCGUAUCAGCUACGGCGCCGUGCAUACGUUCCCGGGUCUGUACACACCGCCCGUCACAUCAUGAAAGCCGUCUGCACCCAAAGUCGCUGACUCAACUGAUUUAUCAGAGAGAGGCGCCUAAGGUGUGGGUGCCAAUUGGGAUGAA